CAACCAACCGGGCUGAGGACCUGGGGCUGGGCGGGCGCAAGCCCAGGCCUCCCGCCGAAGGCGCUGACAGCUCAAUUCCCGCCACAGGCCCUGCCAGCUCUCUGGCUGGGAGGGAAGAGAUGACAGUGCCACCACCAGGGUCCUGGCCCCACUGCUUUCCCCGGUGAUGGCAGGGCCUCCCGUGACCUCUCUGCCGACCCUCCAGUCUGUUCUCUUCUGCACGGUAAGUAAGACACCUCAGGGUCCAUCUGUGGCAACCACACAGUGGCUCUGUCUCAGAGCUAAGGCCACGGGCCCUACAAGGCCCUCAAUUGCCGGCUCUGGCCUCCUUUCUGCCACCUUUGUCCCCACCCCCAUCCCCUGUGUUCCUGCCCCAGCCACACUGGCCUCCUUGCCAGGCCUCAAACACAUCAGCUACGUUCCCACCUCGGGACCUUUGCACUGGCCGGUCCAUCCUCCAGAUAGCUGUGGGGCUCGCUGCCCCACCCCAACCCUUUGCUUCAGUGUCAGUGUCACCUGUGCAGUGGGGACCCUGACGACAACAGUUUCAACUUGCCCCCACGUGUCUCUCUCUCUCCCCCACUCGCCUACUUGGAGCUUCCCUGCGGCGCUGACCACCCCGAACAGUCUCUCUUGUGCUUCCUGUCUGGCUCCACCUUCUAGAGCCUCAGCUGCACGAGGGCUCAGACUCCGUGUUUCCCCCCUACGUCUGGCACAUAGCAGGGGCGUAAUGAACGAAUGAGCAAAUUAAAAAACAAACAAAUCAGCCGGCUCAGGGGGCGGCCAGCGCGGCUUGCCCCCGGGAGCCCAGCCCCGCUCCUGGCGUAGGUGAUCGGUGUGCCGGACAGGGUACCUGUGCCAGGCGCCCGGGCCCGGGCCUGGUCCCACUCCAGGCGCAGCGCCGUCAGCAGGAAGCAGCCCCCGCCCAGGGCAACGACAAAUGCACAGCACAGGAAACUCUGCUGGAGGCUGAGGAAGGCCUGCAGGUAGGAGUCUGGGCGCCCGGCCCUCAGGGUGCUGGACACCUGCAGCGAGAGGCCGGCCUUGGUGGUUCCCCCCCCCCCGCCACGCCCACCGAGGAGCCACCCCUCCCCUCCACCACGCCCACCGAGAAGCCACUCCUCACCAGUCCAGUAAGGUAAGGGCUGCUGGCGUCCCCCAGGAUGUGGCCCACUGUGAUCUGCAAAGCCUCUGCUGUCCCCCGGCACCUGGGCACCACCACGGACUGCAAAACACAGGACACCGGGGCAGCCCCCAAGCAAGGGCAGAGUGUGGGUGCCUCUGGUCCCCCCCCUGCCAAGGACCUGCCUGGAGGGCAGCUGGGCUGGCCGAGCGAGUGGGAAGGAAGGGGGUCAGCAAAGCCCCAGCACUAGGACGUCAGGCCCCUCCGAGGGAUGGGGGCGCCGAGGCCCCUGAUGAGGCCUGCUCUCGAGGGUUUGCUCUCGGAUGGGUCAGGGACCAGGCCUGGCUCUGACUCAUGGUGACGGGGCCGGGGCGUCCCAGCUCAGGGCCCAGGAGGCGGGCCGGCCUGGCCGGGAGAGGACGCACGGCCGGGUGUCUGUGUGUGUGGGCGCUGGGCUCAGUGGCACCAAGGGCUCAGCCCCUGUCUCGGGAAGUUCGAGCCCCGCUGGGUGGACACACAGUGGCACACAGCGUGGCUGGAGAGACCCCCGCGACCCCAUGGAGGGGGGUGGGGGGUUAAGAGCGUGAAUUCCGAAGUCAGGAAUGUCUGGGUUCCAAUCCCACUCGCUGGCUGUGUGCCUUCAGGCAAGUCACUGUGCCUUUCUGUGCCUCAGCCUCCCCAUCGCCACACGGGGAUGAUAACUGUAGCUGCUGGAGGGAUGUGCUCGUGGCCAUUCUUCCUCUGGUACGGAGGCUUCGUGGGGACGUCAGACCGAAAUAGUGCCCUUUGGCCCCAGGAGGCAGAGGGUUUCCAGACACUUGAAGGUGGUGUGGCCUCUGCCUGCCAGGCCCUCCCCGCUCAGGUCCAGCUGGAGCAUCUCCACCGGUCUCUCGGGACUGAGCUCCCAGAGGUCAGAGGCCUGCCCUGAGCUCCCACAGCCCCCGAGCGCGCCCCUAACUGAACACACAGCCCCCACGCUGGAAGGUUCCCCCUUCGUCCCCCCCAACACACACCCCUACGUCGUCUGGACGGCAAAGCCCCUGUCGGAGUUCUCUGGAGGUUCCUGGAUUACAGGCCCAGGAACAGACUACGCGAAAGUCUGCCAAGCAAACGAGUCCAGUAGAACCAUCUGGAAGACCAGUCCCAAGACAAACCCAGCCAGAAGCCAGGGUUGCAGCAGGGGAGGGGAGGGGAGGAGCAGGAGGAGGGGUCCAAGCAGAGGCCAGGCGGUCACACAGUCCUAAAGGGGAGCUCCCCACCCCAGAGCCCCAUCCCCGACACCUAGUGGAGGAUAACAAUUAGCGUUUAUUGAGUGCCUCGUGCAUGCAUUUUAUGCAUCUCAUGUAUACAUUUUACAGAUCCACUCAACCACCCCACGAGCGAGGUAUGAUCGUCAUCCAUGGGUCCCAGAUGAGGAAACUCUCCGCAGGAAGGGAAGUAACCUGUCCACGGUCACCCAGCCAGGAAACAGCAGGACAGGCAUUUGAGCCUCCGGGAUCUGACCUUUGACCACUUGGCUGUUAGGAGCAGGGAGGAGCCUGUCCAGCAGUGUCUGCUAUGGGACACUUGGAAACGCGGAAGGACGAGGAGGGCAAGCUCACGCAGCCCUGCACGUGGGCAACUGGCAGAGAGAGCAGGGAAGGGCGUCCCAGGCGGGGAACAGAGUGAGCAGAGGUGUGAGGCAGGGGCCCAGCGCCUGGAGCCACAGGACGGGCAGGCAGGGCCAGGCAGCAGGAGUGGGUGACAACUGGCUGCCCCCGGUCACUGACACUGACACUCUGUCCAGGUGGCGAGAGAGGGUGAAUCUCUAACCCUGACUGGGACCUGCCGACGGGCCAGAGAAGGAGCUGACCGUGGCUUUGCACCUUCAGGGAGUGCUUCCCCCUUGCCUGUAAUUAUGUGAUUACCCACGGGUGGCUCUGGGGGGACAAGCAGGUGACUCCUAGAGGGUGGGCCCCGCAUGUCUGGAAAAGUCCUUGCCGGCUGCUUGGACCCUCAGAGUAAAGUCCAGACAGCUGGUCCUUCCCACACCCCCCAGGAGCUGCUGGGCCCAGACCAAGACAGGUCGGUCCCCUGCCCGUUCUGGGUCCUGCUGCCUCCAUGUGGGGGGGCCAAAGCUGGCCCUGCCCACAGCUGGAGAGCCCAGCAGGUAAUUUUAGACGUUACAGGCUUUGGCUUCCUAAAACUGCUCACUCUAUUCUGAGACAAAGCGCCUCUGUUUCUGACUUUCCCUUCUCAGAAGAGCUGUUCCCUUUCCAGCCUGGGACAUAACCAGCAUCGGCCAAGAGCCCACAGAAAGUCCGAGCGGCAACCAUCAGGUGCAAACUCCCUGACAGCCUGCCUCCUGCAUCCCCCCUCGGCCCUCACCCCAGACUCGCUGGGGAGGGUGAGACAGACGGUGGGCAGAGCAGGGAAGCAUUGAGACAAGGGCCCAGAAGAACAGGAGGGAGAUAACCCUCGAGGGGGUGGGAGAAAUCUGCUGAGGAGGUGGGGGGUGCCCCUGGCGGCUGGGUUCCAGGACCACAGAGGAAGAGACGGGGAGUUCCAUUUCUGCUCGACUCCCUGCUGCCAGGGGCCGGUACCCCCGGUACCCCCGUGGGGCCCACACGGACAGAAGGCUGGGGAGGGAGCUGGAGGUGCCAUCAGCAGGGGGAGCUCAGCCUGGGGACGGGGGCGGACACAGGCUGGGCAGACCAGAUCCAGGGGAGCAGGACCCUCUGGGCAGGGGGGGGGUGCUGGAGGCGUGUCUGGGGCCAGGGGGUGAGCUUCCCGUCCAGGGGCUUGGGAUCAAGGGACUGACUGUGCCAGUCAGAGUCCCGCAGGGGUUCACAGCCUGGGGAGUCGGGCACGUUGGACCAGUGUUCUCCCAGGGUGCUCUGAGGAGCCUAUGGGCACCACGGGGGACGUCCGUUAGAAAGGCACAGCCUGGACCCCAGCAUGGACCCACUGAACCAGACUCUGAGGACAAAACGUCCCCCACACCUGGUUCUCACGCUCACUGAGGUCUGAGAGCCCCUGGACCACACAGCUGCUGAGGUGUCUUCCCCGGCCUCUGGGUUGUCGUGCAGCCCCCUCGAAGUCGCGUGGAGGGCACAGGACUCGAGAAGGUGGAGAGGGCUCUGUGGAGCCCCGGCCAGCAUCCUGCCAGAGCUUCCCUCAGUCGCCUCUUUCACCCUCACGGUAACCACGAGUAUUUCAGAGUUUUUCACCCCACUGUGCACACGGGGAAACUGAGGCUCGGACACACGGAAUGACUUGCCCAUGACACACACAGCUAGUAAGCAGCAGGAGUGGGGCUGAAAGCUAGGCGUCUCCUGCGUCCAGGACCAGGCCCGGCACCUGGUCACCACAGGACAGCUGUCAACCUGUCGCCAGGCUCCUGGGCUCCCCUGUGCACGGUGUUGGACUAUGCCAGGCUUUCAGGGGGCAGGAGGGCUCGUAGGGGUCCCCAGGUCUGGGUCCCACAAGGGCACAGCUCACCAGUGUUCCAAGUGCUCUCCUGAUGGCUCCCGGAGGGAGGCAGGGAGGCUGGGCGGAGAGCGUGAGGCUCAGGGAUGGCCACGCAGGACUCUGGACGUAGUGGAGUCACGUGGUCGGGCCUCACUUUAGCCUGAGCCGGCCCCUGGCCUUGCAGACCGUGACAUGGGAGCCGAGGCAGCCUGGACCCACCUGGCUUGUGGCUGUAACCCUGAAGUCCCACAUCCCCGUCCACACACCCAGAGCCUGCUUGUGGACAAGUACAGUCAGGAAAGAGGGAGGGGAGGCGUCAAAAAAGCCUAGGCCCCUGUCCUGGCUCGGUGCCUCUGCAUGCUGGGCGACUUUGGCCCGGGUACCUGCCUUCUCUGAGCCUCCGUUGGCUCAUCUGCAAAAUGGAGCCAAUGGUCGAAGGAUAUGUUUGAGAGUGUCAGGAAGGCCCCGUCCAAGGAAACUGUCCAAUGACUUCAGUCCCCCGCCCCAUGGUCUCUGAAGCCCCUCCCAGCUUCCAGGCCACCGGACAGCAGAGACCCAGCCCCACACCUACCAGCAGGAUGUCGGCAACCACCGCCCAGUUGCAGGACAGAAGCAGCUCCCCGAGGGCCAGGAGCACCUGUGGACAAGGACCCUGGUCACCGACCCUCCCUGCCUGGUCUCUUCCCGCCUGCAGAGAGAGACCGAGGCCGCACAGAGAAGGGCGCCAUCAGAUCUGCUGGGGGAGGCGAGGCCUGAGCUGCGUCUUCGGUUCCAGCAGCCUCCAGGGUGGGCAGACAUUCCCGUCUGGGCGGGCUGGCAGCCAUGACCCAGAGGAGAGCGCCAGGCCCCGGGCCUGGGAACAGACUGCUCCCUGAUGGACGGCCCCCAGGCCCAGCUGCUGAGGUCCCCCAUGGGGCCCCAGGAAGAGGCAGCCAGGACUUCUGGGCCACUUGAAAGCUGGGAAAACAGACUGGAGAGGAGAGAGGCCCAGGGACUGAAUAGUUUGCUCACCCCUCCUGUGUUCCCCUAAGGCCUGCAUACGCUGAUAAGGUACACACAGUGGGCCAGCCUACCUGCCUGGCCCGGGCACCCCAUCUACAGCCCCUCCCAGGCUACCUCCUUCCCAGGCCCCUCGAGCAGCACAGGGGAGGCCAGCAAGGCCGAGCCGGGGGCAGGGCCAAGGUUUCCCAGAGGUCACCGGCUGGCCCAGGGCAAAGCCAGCCUGGAGCGUGACUCCUGGGCCCUGGCCAGCGGCCCACCCCCUUCCCCGAUACCUGUGGGGCUGGUUUAACUCUGUGUGCCCCCCUCCCUGCCCCACUGUCUGCCGGGGACCAGGGGCCACUGUGGGCCUGCCCCACCCAGCAACCUGGGUCCCUGCCUCUGCAGAGGAUUGGGACAAUCCUCAUUCCCCUUGCUCAGGAAGAGUUUAAUGAAGCGGCAAGAAGGGGAAAAAAGGCAUUUCUCAGAGCUUCCAGGAGCUUAUGCUGGAGUGGAAUUAGUCAUUCCUGGAGUCACGGGGCUGUGCUGGGGCGGCCCAGGCUCUGGUCCCCAAAGGCCCGUGACACUCAGGGCAGAGGAAGUGAGGGAGCCCGGUCACCUGCCACGUACCGGGCACGUCCGCUCUCGCGACAUCCACCCA